UUACGCACACGGUGAAGAUUU
rnacentral:piRNA from 1 species